AGUGAACGCUGGCGGUAGGCCUAACACAUGCAAGUCGAACGGCAGCACAGUAAGAGCUUGCUCUUACGGGUGGCGAGUGGCGGACGGGUGAGGAAUACAUCGGAAUCUACUUUUUCGUGGGGGAUAACGUAGGGAAACUUACGCUAAUACCGCAUACGACCUACGGGUGAAAGCAGGGGAUCUUCGGACCUUGCGCGAUUGAAUGAGCCGAUGUCGGAUUAGCUAGUUGGCGGGGUAAAGGCCCACCAAGGCGACGAUCCGUAGCUGGUCUGAGAGGAUGAUCAGCCACACUGGAACUGAGACACGGUCCAGACUCCUACGGGAGGCAGCAGUGGGGAAUAUUGGACAAUGGGCGCAAGCCUGAUCCAGCCAUACCGCGUGAGUGAAGAAGGCCUUCGGGUUGUAAAGCCCUUUUGUUGGGAAAGAAAAACAGCAGGUUAAUACCCCGCUGUUAUGACGGUACCCAAAGAAUAAGCACCGGCUAACUUCGUG
rnacentral:rRNA from 1 species